UACGUAGGGUGCAAGCGUUGUCCGGAAUUAUUGGGCGUAAAGAGCUCGUAGGCGGCCUGUCGCGUCGGCUGUGAAAACCCGAGGCUCAACCUCGGGCCUGCAGUCGAUACGGGCAGGCUAGAGUUCGGUAGGGGAGACUGGAAUUCCUGGUGUAGCGGUGAAAUGCGCAGAUAUCAGGAGGAACACCGGUGGCGAAGGCGGGUCUCUGGGCCGAAACUGACGCUGAGGAGCGAAAGCGUGAGGAGCAAACAGG
rnacentral:rRNA from 1 species